rnacentral:rRNA from 1 species
ACGCUCGACACCUACGGAGGCAGCAGUCGGGAAUAUUGCGCAAUGGAGGAAACUCUGACGCAGUGACGCCGCGUAUGGGAAGAAGGUUUUCGGAUUGUAAACCAUUUUAGACAAGGAAGAAACAAGACAGUACUUGUAGAAUAAGCUCCGGCUAACUACGUGCCAGCACGCCGUAGGUAAUCUGAGGCGGGCUGGCAAGGC